rnacentral:rRNA from 1 species
GGUGAACGCUAGCUACAGGCUUAACACAUGCAAGUCGAGGGGAAACGACAUCGAAAGCUUGCUUUCGAUGGGCGUCGACCGGCGCACGGGUGAGUAACGCGUAUCCAACCUGCCCACCACUUGGGGAUAACCUUGCGAAAGUAAGACUAAUACCCAAUGAUAUCUCUAGAGGACAGCUGAAAGAGAUUAAAGAUUUAUCGGUGAUGGAUGGGGAUGCGUCUGAUUAGCUUGUUGGCGGGGUAACGGCCCACCAAGGCUACGAUCAGUAGGGGUUCUGAGAGGAAGGUCCCCCACAUUGGAACUGAGACACGGUCCAAACUCCUACGGGAGGCAGCAGUGAGGAAUAUUAGUCAAUGGACGAGAGUCUGAACCAGCCAAGUAGCGUGCAGGAUGACGGCCCUAUGGGUUGUAAACUGCUUUUAUAAGGGAAUAAAGUGAGUCUCGUGAGACUUUUUGCAUGUACCUUAUGAAUAAGGACCGGCUAAUUCCGUGCCAGCCGCCGCCGUAA